UUGAUUAAAUAGACACACAAAUCUGAAGUGGUUUUGGGAUUAUAAUAUUUUACUAUUUUUGUCAUAAAAUAAUAUUCAGAAAAGCAAUGCCCCAUUUCAUCUGUAAUGGAUUAAUUCUACAUUCAGUCAUUGUUAAACUUCAGUUUGUUUGAUAACAAAAACAUGAGCUACAAGACAGGAAAAACUAACUUUUCAAUCUUUUUGAAGUGGAUUACUAAUUAGAUAUUGUUUAAUUGUAUAAUCUAAUUUUUAAAAAUUUCAGAUUCAUUUUCAUUCUUCAAAUUAUGAGGACGUUCAGCAGUACCUUCCCAAAAAUUGUCUUCCGAGUGAUUUUGGAGGAGAUUUAGCUUCAGUAAAUGAGCUGCAUCAGGAAUUUUGUGAGUGGAUGGCCAGACUUACACCCCAAUUCGUAGAAGGGGACAAGUUGUAUGAUGAAACCACUAAUAAUGAAAAGAAUUAAAGAAAGCAAAUGAGACCAGAACAGAACUCCCACUAUAGAUUGAAACAUUGAGUUUAAGAUUAUUUACUUUUCAUUUUAUUUACCUGUACAUAGUAUUUUAAAAAUUGUUUAAAACAACAAUGGAAAGCCAUAGCAAUAAUAAGAACUUAGCAGUACGUUACAUCAAAUAAAAACGUAACUGUUUGUAAUUGAAUUACAGCAGCGUUGCCAUUACACAAUAUAUUAACAACUGUUGUAUCUUUUUUUUCAUAAGGUAUUCUUCUUUUCUUGCAACAUCUCUAUCUACUGCCUUAUCAUUUCAAUAAAGUUAAACCACUACGUAUUAAA